GACGAACGCUGGCGGCGUGCUUAACACAUGCAAGUCGAACGGAAAGGCCCUGCUUUUGUGGGGUGCUCGAGUGGCGAACGGGUGAGUAACACGUGAGUAACCUGCCCUUGACUUUGGGAUAACUUCAGGAAACUGGGGCUAAUACCGGAUAGGAGCUCCUGCUGCAUGGUAGGGGUUGGAAAGUUUCGGCGGUUGGGGAUGGACUCGCGGCUUAUCAGCUUGUUGGUGGGGUAGUGGCUUACCAAGGCUUUGACGGGUAGCCGGCCUGAGAGGGUGACCGGCCACAUUGGGACUGAGAUACGGCCCAGAAUCCUACGGGAGGCAGCAGUGGGGAAUAUUGCACAAUGGGCGGAAGCCUGAUGCAGCAACGCCGCGUGCGGGAUGACGGCCUUCGGGUUGUAAACCGCUUUCGCCUGUGACGAAGCGUGAGUGACGGUAAUGGGUAAAGAAGCAACGGCUAACUACGUG
rnacentral:rRNA from 1 species